UACAGAGGGUGCAAGCGUUAAUCGGAAUUACUGGGCGUAAAGCGUGCGCAGACGGUUGCGUAAGUCAGAUGUGAAAGCCCCGGGCUCAACCUGGGAAUUGCAUUUGAGACUGCGUAGCUAGGGUGCGGAAGAGGGAAGCGGAAUUUCCGGUGUAGCGGUGAAAUGCGUAGAUAUCAGGAAGAACACCCGUGGCUAAGGCGGCUCUCUAGUACGGUACUGACGCUGAGCACGCGAAAGCGUGGGGAGCGAACAGG
rnacentral:rRNA from 1 species